AGCGAACGCUGGCGGCAGGCCUAACACAUGCAAGUCGAGCGCCCCGCAAGGGGAGCGGCAGACGGGAGAGUAACACGUGGGAACGUACCCUUCAGUUCGGAACAACCCAGGGAAACUUGGGCUAAUACCGGAUACGUCCGUAAGGAGAAAGAUUUAUCGCUGAAGGAUCGGCCCGCGUCUGAUUAGCUAGUUGGUGAGGUAACGGCUCACCAAGGCGACGAUCAGUAGCUGGUCUGAGAGGAUGAUCAGCCUCACUGGGACUGAGACACGGCCCAGACUCCUACGGGAGGCAGCAGUGGGGAAUAUUGGACAAUGGGCGCAAGCCUGAUCCAGCCAUGCCGCGUGGGUGAUGAAGGCCCUAGGGUUGUAAAGCCCUUUCGGCGGGGAAGAUAAUGACGGUACCCGCAGAAGAAGCCCCGGCUAACUUCGUGCCAGCCGCCGCCGUAAAAC
rnacentral:rRNA from 1 species